AGAAACUAACAAGGAUUCCCCUAGUAACGGCGAGUGAAGCGGGAAGAGCUCAAAUUUGAAAUCUGGUGGCCUCAGGUCAUCCGAGUUGUAAUCUAUAGAAGUGUUUUCCGUGCUGGCUCAUGUACAAGUCCCUUGGAACAGGGCGUCAUAGAGGGUGAGAAUCCCGUCCUUGACAUGAACUACCAGUGCUCUGUGAUACAUUUUCAACGAGUCGAGUUGUUUGGGAAUGCAGCUCAAAAUGGGUGGUAAAUUCCAUCUAAAGCUAAAUAUUGGCGAGAGACCGAUAGCGAACAAGUACCGUGAGGGAAAGAUGAAAAGCACUUUGGAAAGAGAGUUAAACAGUAUGUGAAAUUGUUAAAAGGGAAACGAUUGAAGUCAGUCGUGCUCUUUGGAUUCAGCCGGUUCUGCCGGUGUACUUCCUUUGAGUGGGGUCAACAUCAGUUUUGAUCGCUGGAUAAAGGCUGGAGGAACGUAGCACCCCCGGGUGAACUUAUAGCCUCCUGUCACAUACAGUGGUUGGGACUGAGGAACGCAGCA
rnacentral:rRNA from 1 species